rnacentral:piRNA from 1 species
UGGUCCAAUGCAUUAGUUUGCUUUAACAA